rnacentral:rRNA from 1 species
AUUGAACGCUGGCGGAAUGCUUUACACAUGCAAGUCGAACGGCAGCACGGACUUCGGUCUGGUGGUGAGUGGCGAACGGGUGAGUAAUGUAUCGGAACGUGCCCAGUCGUGGGGGAUAACGUAGUGAAAAUUACGCUAAUACCGCAUACGAUCUAUGGAUGAAAGCGGGGGAUCGCAAGACCUCGCGCGAUUGGAGCGGCCGAUAUCAGAUUAGGUAGUUGGUGGGGUAGAGGCCCACCAAGCCAACGAUCUGUAGCUGGUCUGAGAGGACGACCAGCCACACUGGAACUGAGACACGGUCCAGACUCCUACGGGAGGCAGCAGUGGGGAAUUUUGGACAAUGGGCGCAAGCCUGAUCCAGCCAUUCCGCGUGCAGGAUGAAGGCCCUCGGGUUGUAAACUGCUUUUGUACAGAACGAAAAGGUUUCUACUAAUACUAGGAGCUCAUGACGGUACUGUAAGAAUAAGCACCGGCUAACUACGUGCCAGCAGCCGCCGUAA